ensembl:lncRNA
AUUUAAAAAUGCUUUAUUGCUAAAAAUGCUAAUGAUCAAUCUGAGCCUUCAGUGAGUCGUACUCUUUUUGCUGGUGGAGGGUCUUGCCUCGAGGUUGAUGGCUGCUGACUGGUCAGGGUGGUGGCUGCUGAAGGUUGGGGUGGCUGUGGCAAUUUCUUAAAAUAAGACAUCAGUGCAGUUUGUCUCAUCAAUUGACUCUUCCUUUCAUGAAAGAUUUCUCUGUAGCAUGCGAUGCUGUUUGAUAGCAUUUUGCCCACAGUAGAACUUCUUUCAAAAUUGGAGUCAAUCCUCUCAAACCCUGCUGCUGCUUUGUCAACUAAGUUUAUGUAAUAUUCUAAAUCCUUUGUUGUCAUUUCAACAAUGUUCACAGCAUCUUCACCAGGUGUAGAUUCCAUCUCAAGAAACCACUUUCUUUGUGCAUCCAUAAGAAACAGCUCCUUAUCUGUUACAGUUUUAUCAUGAGACUGCAGCAAUUCAGUUACAUCUCUAGGCUCUACUUCUAAUUCUAGUUCUCUUGCUAUUUCCACCACAUCUGCACUUACUUCCUCCACUGAAGUCUUGAACCCAUCAUAGUCAUCAAUGAGGGUGGGAAUCAACUUCUUCCAAACUCCUGUUAAUGUUGACAUUUUGACCUCCUCCCAUGAAUCACGAAUGUUUUUAAUGGCAUCUAAAAUGGUGAAUCCUUUCCAGAAGGUUUUCAAUUUGCUUUGCCCAGAUCCAUCAGAGACAUCUCUAUCCAUGGCAGCUAGAGCCUUAUGAAACGUAUUUCUCAAAUAAUAAGACUUGAAGGUCGAAAUUCCUCCUUGAUCCAUGGGCUGCAGAAUGGAUGUUGUGUUAGUGGGCAUGAAAACAACAUUAAUCUCCUUGUAUAUCUCCAUCAGAGCUCUUGGAUGACUAGGGGCAUUGUCAAUGAGCAGUAAUAUUUUGAAAGGAAUCUUCUUUUCUGAGCAGUAGGUCUCAACAGUGGGUUUAAAGUAUUCAGUAAACCACACUGUAAACAGAUGUGCUGUCAUCCGGGCUUUGCUGUUCCAUUUAUAUAGCACAGGUAGAGUAGAUUUAGUAUAAUUCUUAAGGGCCCUAGGAUUUUCAGAAUGGUAAACAAAGCAUUGGCUUCAACUUAAAGUCACCAGCUGCAUUAGCCCCCAACAAGAGAGUCAGCCUGUCCUUUGAAGCUUUGAAGCCAGGCACUAACUUCUCCUCUCUAGCUAUGAAAGUCCUAGAUGGCAUCUUCUUCCAACAGAAGGCUGUUUCAUCUACAUUGAAAAUCUGUUGUUUAGUGUAGCCACCUUCAUCAAUGAUCUUAGCUAAAGCUUCUGGAUAACUUGCUGCAGCUUCUACAUCAGCACUAGCUGCUUCACCCUGUGCUUUUAUGUUGUGGAAACGGCUUCUUUCCUUAAACCUCAUGAACCAACCUCUGCUAGCUUCAAACUUUUCUUCUGCGGCUUCCACACCUCUCUCAGCUUUCAUAGAGUUGAAGAGAGUUAGGGCCUUGUUCUGGAUUAGGCUUUGGCUUAAGGGAAUGUUGUGGCUGGUCUGAUCUUCUAUCCAGACCACUAAAACUUUCUCCAUAUCAGCAAUAAGGCUGUUUCGCUUUCUUAUCAUUCGUGUGUUCAUUGGAGUAGCACUUUUAACUUCCUUCAAGAACUUUUCCUUUGCAUUUACAACUUGGCUAACUGUUUGCCGCAGGAGGCCUAGCCUUCGGCCUAUAUCGGCUUUUGACAUACCUUCCUCACUGAGUUUAAUCAUUUCUAGUUUUUGAUUUAAAGUGAGAGACGUGCGACUCUUCCUUUCACUUGAGCACUUAGAGGCCAUUGCAGAGUUAUUAAUUCGCCUAAUUUCAAUAUUGUUGUGUCUCAGGGAAUAGAGAGGCCCAAGAAGAGGGAGAAAGAUGGGGAACAAUCUGUGGGUGGAGCAGUCAGAACACACACAACAUUAAGUUCGCGGUCUUAUAAAAGACGCUGUAUGUGGCACCCCAAAACAAUAGCAACAUCAAAGAUCACUGAUCAUAGAUCACCAUAACAGACACAGAAAUCAUGAAAAGUUUGAAAUAUUUUGAGAAUUACCAAAAUGUAACACAGAGACACGAAGUGAACACAUGCUGUUGGAAAAAUGGCGCUAAUACAAUUGCUGGACUCAGGGCUGCCACAAACCCUCAAUUUGUUUUUAGAAAGUCCUAUCUGCGAAGCGCAAUAAAACGAGGUAUGCCAUAGUAUAGUGGCGCUGCCGCCAAAGGAAAGCCUCGGGAAGGUUAAGAGAGAUACCGGAGAGUGCGUCUGGCACUGGAGGAGGAGGAGGGCUUUUACCAGGCAGCGAGUCCAGAGCCCGCGCUGUCAACGACGCGGUGCUGCCUUUUUUCGGAGGCGCUGCAGGAGGGCGCCUGGACACGCUCCCUUAGGAGAGCGGGCAGGUCACAGGACCUGGACGGCGACAAAGCUGAGACCUGAAGCCAGCUCCGCCGCUGAGGCCAACCCUCUGCGCAGCCGCCCU